CCCUCAGUAACUGCGAGUGAAGCGGGAAAAGCUCAACAUUAAAAUCCGGUAGCCCUUUCGUGGGGUGGUCCGGAGUUGUAAUCUAGAGAGACGUCAUGUCCGCACUGGAAACCCACUCACAAGUCCCUUGGAACAGGGCAUCAUAGAGGGUGACAAUCCCGUUCGUGAUAAGCUGGAACUAGUGCAUUUGAGACGCGUCUUCACAGAGUCGAGUUGUUUGGGAGUGCAACUCUAAACGGGUGGUAAACUCCAUCUAAAGCUAAAUACAGGCGAGAGACCGAUAGCGAACAAGUACCGUGAGGGAAAGAUGAAAAGCACUUUGGAAAGAGAGUUAAACAGUACGUGAAAUUGCUGAAAGGGAAACGCUUGAAGUCAGUCGCGUCGACAUAAGGGUUCAGCCAAGUCUCGGCUUGGUUUACUCCCCAAGUCGACGGGUCAGCGUCGAUUUUGACCGUCGGAAAAGGGCUGGAGGAAGGUGACAGGUUAGAAAAAAAAAAUAACAUGUUUUAUAGCCUUCAGUCGUAUGCGACGGUUGGGAUCGAGGGAGUUAAAUUGGCGAGCGACGGUGGGGGCCUCUUGCCCCGUCGUCGUCAAUAAAAAAAAAAAAUAAACUAACACGAAACGCCUUUUGAUGCUGGCUUAAUGGCUUUAAACGACCCGUCUUGAAACACGGACCAAGGAGUCUAACAUGCCUGCGAGUGUUUGGGUGGAAAACCCGAGCGCGAAAACAAAGUGAACGAGUUCGGGAUCUUCAGAAUUUGGAAAGAGCACCGAAGCCCAGGCCUGACAUUAAACAAAACAGUGACCUGCGGUAGAGCAUGCAUGUUAGGACCCGAAAGAUGGUGAACUAUGCCUGAGUAGGGUGAAGCCAGAGGAAACUCUGGUGGAAGCUCGUCGCGGUUCUGACGUGCAAAUCGAUCGUUAAACUUGGGUAUAGGGGCGAAAGAC
rnacentral:rRNA from 1 species